rnacentral:rRNA from 1 species
GACGAACGCUGGCGGCGUGCUUAACACAUGCAAGUCGAACGACGUGGCGAACGGGUGAGUAACGCGUAAUCAACCUGCCCUUCAGAGGGGGACAACAGUCGGAAACGACUGCUAAUACCGCAUACUGAUGGAGGGGAUUGCGUCUGAUUAGCUAGUUGGAGGGGUAACGGCCCACCAAGGCGAUGAUCAGUAACCGGUCGGAGAGAAUGAACGGCAACAUUGGGUGUGAGAAACGGCCCAGACUCGUACGGGAGGCAGCAGUGGGGAAUCUUCCGAAAUGGACGAAAGUCUGACGGAGAAACACCGCGUGAGUGAUGACGGCCUGCGGGUUGUAAAGCUCGGUUAAUCGGGGCGCGAUAACGAAAUAGAAAACCACGGCUAGCUACGUGCCAGCAGCCGCGGUAAUAC